AGUCUGGUGCCAGCAGCCGCGGUAAUUCCAGCUCUAAUAGCGUAUAUUAAAGUUGUUGCAGUUAAAAAGCUCGUAGUUGGAUUUCGGCGUGCGCUCAGGCUGGUCGGCCGUCAAGGUCUGUACCGUUUGGGUCACGCCCCACUGUAGGAUACUCACCGCUGUCCUUAACUGGGUGGCGGUCAAAGGGGGUGUGCAUGGGGGCAACUCUGUGCAUAUCUCUGGGGUUCCUACUCUUUUACUUUGAGCAAAUUAGAGUGUUCAAAGCAGGCAAUCGAGCCUUGAAUACUUCAGCAUGGGAUAAUGGAACAGGACUGGGGUCCUGAUUUCGUUGGUUUCUGGAAUCUCAGUAAUGAUUAAUAGGGAUAGUUGGGGGCAUUAGUAUUUAAUUGUCAGAGGUGAAAUUCUUGGAUUUAUGAAAGACUAACUUCUGCGAAAGCAUUUGCCAAGGAUGUUUUCAUUAAUCAAGAACGAAAGUUAGGGGAUCGAAGACGAUCAGAUACCGUCGUAGUCUUAACCAUAAACGAUGCCGACCAGCGAUUGGGAGACGUUACAUGGAUGACUCCCCCAGUAGCUUGCGAGAAAUCACAAGUCUUUGGGUUCCGGGGGGAGUAUGGUCGCAAGGCUGAAACCUAAAGGAAUUGACGGAAGGGCACCACCAGGAGUGGAGCCUGCGGCUUAAUUUGACUCAACACGGGGAAACUUACCAGGUCCAGACAUAGUAAGGAUUGACAGAUUUGAGAGCUCUUUCUUGGUCCUAUGGGUGGUGGUGCAUGGCCGUUCUUAGUUGGUGGAGUGAUUUGUCUGGUUAAUUCCGUUAACGAACGAGACCUUAACCUGCUAAAUAUGUCACUGGUAGACUUCUGCCAAAACAGGUGGGUGUCUAGGGGAAAGUUUCGAUGGACUCCGACGCAUUCAUCUGUGGAUGACUACCAGGAUGUACUUCUUAGAGGGACUAUCUGUAUCAAAGCAGAUGGAAGUUUGAGGCAAUAACAGGUCUGUGAUGCCCUUAGAUGUUCUGGGCCGCACGCGCGCUACACUGACAAGUUCAACGAGUUUAACACCUUGCUCGAUAGGGCUGGGUAAUCUUUGAAAAACUUGUCGUGAUGGGGAUAGAUCAUUGUAAUUAUUGGUCUUCAACGAGGAAUUCCUAGUAAGCGUGAGUCAUCAGCUCGCGUUGAUUACGUCCCUGCCCUUUGUACACACCGCCCGUCGCUCCUACCGAUUGAAUGAUCCGGUGAAAUGUUGGGAGCCGGGGUCUUUUGGCGGCGGGGCAACUCGUCGUCAGGGAUUCUGCAAACUUCAUUAAACCUUAUCAUUUAGA
rnacentral:rRNA from 1 species